GAGGAGGAGGAAAAGAAAAAGAAGAAGAAGAAGAAGAAGAAGAAGAAGAAGAAGAAGAAGAAGAAGAGGAGGAGAAGAAAAAAAUAAGAAGGACAAGAAGAAGAAGAAGAAAAAUAAGAAGAAGAAGAAGAAGAGAAGAAAAAAAAGAAGGAGAAGAAGUAAAGAAGAAGAGAAGAAGAGAAUAAGAAAAAAAUAAGAAGGAGAAGUUAGUUAGCUAGAUUCUUUUUUAGUUACUUAGUGGUAGAUUAUGUUUUUGUUAUUUUUUUGUUGUUUAGUGCUAUCUAGGUUUAGCGAUAGGUUUAGUUAGCUUGGUUAGUUAGGUUAGUUAGUUAGUUAGCUUAAUAGAAAGAAUAGGAAGAAGAAGAGGAGGAGGAGGAGGAGGAGGAGAAGAAGAAGAAGAAGAAGAAGAAGAAGAAGAAGAAGAAGAAGAAUAAGAAGAAGAAGAGGAGGAGGAGGAGGAGGAGAAGACAAAAAUAAGAAGGAGA
rnacentral:lncRNA from 1 species